GGACAGAAAGACCCUAUGAAGCUUUACUGUAGCCUGGAAUUGAAUUUGGGUUUAUUUUGCGCAGUAUAGGUGGGAGGCUGAGAAGGUAUAUUUGUGGAUAUAUUCGAGCCAAUAGUGAGAUACCACUCUAAUUAAACUAGAAUUCUAACCUUGAUUGCCAUUAGCUGGCCAAGGAACAGUUUCAGGUGGGCAGUUUGACUGGGGCGGUCGCCUCCUAAAAGGUAACGGAGGCGUGCAAAGGUUUCCUCAGGCUGGUCGGAAAUCAGUCGUAGAGUAUAAAGGCAUAAGGAAGCUUGACUGCAAGACCUACAAGUCGAGCAGAGACGAAAGUCGGCCUUAGUGAUCCGACAGUGCUGAGUGGAAAGGCUGUCGCUCAACGGAUAAAAGUUACCUCUAGGGAUAACAGGCUGA
rnacentral:rRNA from 2 species